CGCGUAGGCGGGAUCGUGGGUCGGCCGUGAAAUCCACCGGCUCAACCGGUGAACUGCGGUCGAAACUACGAUUCUUGAGUUCGGUAGAGGAGUGCGGAAUUCCUGGUGUAGCGGUGGAAUGCGUAGAUAUCAGGAAGAACACCGGUAGCGAAGGCGGCACUCUGGGCCGUAACUGACGCUGAGGCGCGAAAGCCGGGGGAGCGAACA
rnacentral:rRNA from 1 species